rnacentral:rRNA from 1 species
AAUCAACGCUGGCGGCGUGCCUCAGACAUGCAAGUCGAACGCGAAAGUUUCCUUCGGGAGAUGAGUAGAGUGGCGCACGGGUGAGUAACACGUGAGUAAUUUACCUUCGGGUGGGGAAUACUAACCGGAACGGUUGUUAAUACCGCAUAAUGCAGCGGCAUCAAUGAUGACAGUUGUUAAAGCGGGGGAUUGGAGCAAUCCGACCUCGCGCCUGAAGAGAAGCNCGCGGCAGAUUAGCUAGUUGGUAAGGUAAUGGCUUACCAAGGCGACGAUCUGUAACCGGCCUGAGAGGGCGGUCGGUCACACUGACACUGAAUAACGGGUCAGACUCCGUACGGGAGGCAGCAGUCGGGAAUUUUGGGCAAUGGGCGCAAGCCUCGACCCAGCAACGCCGCGU